GAACGGGUUGGACUGGGAUUGGACUCCCA
rnacentral:sRNA from 1 species